CAAAUUAGAGCUUGAGAGAGUAAAGCGUUUUAUUUACAUUAAAAAGUAGUUGUGCAAAUCAAUAUAGUUUGA
rnacentral:tRNA from 1 species